rnacentral:rRNA from 1 species
UGCUACAAUGGACAAUACAAAGGGCAGCGAAACCGUGAGGUCAAGCAAAUCCCAUAAAGUUGUUCUCAGUUCGGAUUGUAGUCUGCAACUCGACUACAUGAAGCUGGAAUCGCUAGUAAUCGUAGAUCAGCAUGCUACGGUGAAUACGUUCCCGGGUCUUGUACACACCGCCCGUCACACCACGAGAGUUUGUAACACCCGAAGCCGGUGGAGUAACCUUUUAGGAGCUAGCCGUCGAAGGUGGGACAAAUGAUUGGGGUGAAGUCGUAACAAGGUAGCCGUAUCGGAAGGUGCGGCUGGAUCACCUCCUUU